rnacentral:lncRNA from 1 species
AUGUUCCCACCCUGGAUGCUUUUAGAAAGCAAGAGGAGGAUGCAUUGGUUCAAGGGACGGUGGAGAGGUUCACAUCAUUUCCAUCUCCUCAUCUGGCUCCUGCUGCUGGCACUGGCUCCACCCACAGCACUUGCUUCCUUCCUGGGGGACACCAAGGCAGUAUUAAACGGCUGUGAGGACCACUGGACCCUGCAGGCCAGGGCCGCCGUCCCUCAGCUCUCUCGGAUGACGCUGUGCGUCCACAUCCGUGUGGUGGCCCCCGGGGCCUGGGAGGCCUUCUCCUACAGCUCCACCUACGCGCCCAGACCCCAGCUGGGUUUGGAGGGAGACGACGGGGCGCUGUACGUGUGGCUGCUCAGCAAACGGCACAGGUUUCCUGUCCGGCUGUCCCCAGAACAGUGGCACUGGGUGUGUCUUCGGAUGGACGCACCUGGCAACUCCUUUGGCAUGAAGGUGGAUGGGGAGGUGGUGGCUGAGAGGACGGUCUCCGCUCAGGCCAUCCCCUCGGCCGGCUCCCUCUGGCUGGGCUGUGGUCCCAGGCCCCGGACCCCGGGGGCCAAACGCGGAGCGCUGGAGCUCUACCUGUUCGGCAUGUGGGCGGACCUGGGCGACCACGGGCCCUGUGAGGACGGGACCCUGGUUCCCUGGGACGCUGAGUCCUGGGGAGUGACCAGUCCCAGAGCUGCAAAGAGGGACCACAGCCUGAUGUGUGGCGAGACGAACCACAGACGCUUGAGACGCCGCAGAAGAGAUCUCUUGAGUUCUGCUCCAGCAAUAACUACAGCAAUAGGCGUCAUCGCAGACAUCCUGGCGCCACCUGUGACACCAGCUCUGCCCACUCAAACCAGCCCAGCCAAUCAGAUGCCAAGCAUGCUUCUGCCUGUCAAUCAAAGCACACCUGGAAUAUCACUCAUAUCAGGUUAUUUAAAUUGUAACAUCAGCCAACUCUGCUCAAACAACAGUAAGAGACAAUCAACAUUUGGCCCAUCACAGUUUCACAUUCAAGCACAUCUGGUCUUUUUUGUGACGUUGUAUGUUCAUACAGCUGCCUACUUUUGGAUGUCCAUAAGUGUGCAAGUCAGCGGGGGCAACGGGAUCGACCAAUCCGUUGUGAGAGAUCUGGUGUCCAGUGCGUUUGACUGCACAAAGUGGCUGGCAGGCUUCUGCCAGGGGGGCAACCAGCCUCAGAUAGUGGAGGUGACCUGUGCGGUGAACACCAGCAUAAGGAACACGACCUGCAGCGUGCUGUUGAUGCUCAGCCGCGCCGUCUCGCCCUGCGAACUGCAAGUGGCUGGACAGUCUGCACUGCAGCGGUCACAGACGAUACAAGUCGCCAUCGUAGGAGUAGUGGAGCGAGUCGGUGUGAACGUGUGUGAGCAAGAGGCGCCCCCCAGUGGCGGGUUCCUGAGGUGCACCUCCUCCCUGACGCUGAGUCAGAUCUGUCAGUCCAACCAGCAGCCGACGCUGACGUGGUGAGCGCUCUUUGUUCCCAGCUAGUAGCUCCACCUGUGCCUCCACUGUCUCACCCCCAUCUCCCCACCAGCUCCCCCAUGGAGUCCGGCUCCAACCCAGUCUCGGUUUUACAGCCCCAGUCCGACACCUGCGUCUGUGAGUAACCCACAGGCUCACUGUGCUCUGCAGGAUUCGGUGUCGCUUCUGCUGCUGCUUAACCAUGUUUCUCUGUGCCUCAGGGGAAGCGUCUCGCUUUUGUGACUGCACCGCUUUUUGUAGCUCCUCAAGUAAGAAAAUGCGACGUGUUACUGUAUGUGUCUACGUCAGGUUAUGCUGGCCUGCCAUCAAAAGGCGUGUCUGUAUGUGUAGAAACAAAAGUGAUAUUAAAGCAUUAAAGUCUCGGAGCAGAAGGUCGUAAAUGUUUUUUGAAGGUUUGGAUCUGAGGCCAGAGCUCUGCCCUGAGCUUCCUUUGUCAUGCUUUAUGUCCUUUCUUACUGUGUUUUUCUUUUCAGGCCAGUUUUUUUGCUACGGAAAUUAUUAUCACAGACUCUUCUAUUACCAUGAGUGUCCUUCAGAACGUGGUACGUGCAACACAGCAAUGCACAGCUGUUCAGUACAUCCUGUUCUACGCUCUGUCCUGACUGUCUGCUUUUAUUGAACAGUUGUCAGAACUUCGAGUCCUUCACGCAUGUGAGCCGGG